CCUAAUUUAUUAUAAUUUGUUCCUUAGAGGGCUUGAGAGACAUUCCCGCCGUGGCUUCAAUUCUAAUUGUUUCCACCCAGCUCGAAAAAAAUUACUUUCCUGCCUACAAUAGUUUCCUCUUUGCCGUAAGAGUCUCUCUUCCAAUGAUGGUUCUAUACAUACACAAUUAUGAGAGAAUUAUCUAAUCAUGGUGAAGAUUUGAUAUAAAGAUUAUAUCAAAAGUCACUGUUGAGUAAUGGCUCAUAAUUUCUCAGUUGAAUGCCCCCUGAGAUAAGAUAUAAUUAUUGAUAAUAACUCGAAUGUUUAGACCUUCCUUGGUGGCCUUAAUAAAUCGAUGAAGUUAGAGUUCAGUUUCGUCUGAACAACUUAGCAGCGCACAUCGAAAAAAAAGGCGAAAGUUAUGUAAGUCUCCUGCUAGAAAGAAGUACAGCAGGACCCCCCCCCCCCCAUAAAAAAACAAAAUUAAAGAAUGAUAUACUCGAGGAAAAAUAAUAUGGAAUAUCGCGUGUGCGUAGUAUGUUCCGUGUUGAAAGUGCAUCGUAAUGUUAUUUUUAGAUGUUUUACUUUAUUCAUAUGAUUUAUGAUAUAAUUAAUUAUCGGUGGAGUCAACGAAGCCUCAAAAUGCAUCAAUUUCAACAAAUCGUUCUAUGGUACAUUUUUUUCUCCUUAUUAUUUGGUUUUACCUAAUUUACAGUUGGUUUCUUCUCUUGAAUUUCGUCAGAAUUAACGGACAGAAUAUUAUUACAAAAUGUGCAUUAUUAUUAUUUUACGUAAGCAGCCUGCAUUUUUGUUAACUUGCGAGAGUCGCGACUGACCUCUGACUAUUGAAAUACUACAAUCGUUUCACUUGAAUCACGCAACCGUCGAUCGAAACCCAUGCAAAAAAAGGAAAAGAAAAUCGUCAGUUAGCUUCGACAGAGCACCCGCGUUUUUACAGCGGAAGUUCACCAUCUCUGGAUUACAAAACAGGAAAAUCGGAUGCUGCAGCAAAUGAUUGACGGUUGAUAAAUGAUUGACGGUGAUGAUUAACCAAUCAUCGACCUCACCACCCAACAGAAAGCAAUCAGCUUGGCCAGCGCAACGUCAUCAUCAAGAGAUGACUGAAUAUUCAAGUUGGUCACAACUAUUUCUGAAUCUCGGGGUUACGAGAAGAUACAGGCUUCGUCCAUUGAUCUAUUCGCCGAGCGUCCGCCCCGAAAAAGGAAAUGACUUUCAUACGGUUUGAACGAACAAUAAUAUCAUAAGAAUGCGACCAUUCUGA